rnacentral:rRNA from 1 species
AGAGUUUGAUCCUGGCUCAGAUUGAACGCUGGCGGCAUGCCUUACACAUGCAAGUCGAACGGCAGCACGGGGGUAACCCUGGUGGCGAGUGGCGAACGGGUGAGUAAUACAUCGGAACGUGUCCUGGAGUGGGGGAUAGCUCGGCGAAAGCCGGAUUAAUACCGCAUACGCUCUGUGGAGGAAAGCGGGGGAUCUUCGGACCUCGCGCUCAAGGGGCGGCCGAUGGCGGAUUAGCUAGUUGGUGGGGUAAAGGCCUACCAAGGCGACGAUCCGUAGCUGGUCUGAGAGGACGACCAGCCACACUGGGACUGAGACACGGCCCAGACUCCUACGGGAGGCAGCAGUGGGGAAUUUUGGACAAUGGGGGAAACCCUGAUCCAGCAAUGCCGCGUGUGUGAAGAAGGCCUUCGGGUUGUAAAGCACUUUUGUUCGGGAAGAAAUCCUUCGAGCUAAUACCUUGAGGGGAUGACGGUACCGGAAGAAUAAGCACCGGCUAACUACGUGCCAGCAGCCGCGGUAAUACGUAGGGUGCGAGCGUUAAUCGGAAUUACUGGGCGUAAAGCGUGCGCAGGCGGUUCGCUAAGACCGAUGUGAAAUCCCCGGGCUUAACCUGGGAACUGCAUUGGUGACUGGCGGGCUAGAGUAUGGCAGAGGGGGGUAGAAUUCCACGUAGCAGUGAAAUGCGUAGAGAUGUGGAGGAAUACCGAUGGCGAAGGCAGCCCCCUGGGCCAAUACUGACGCUCAUGCACGAAAGCGUGGGGAGCAAACAGGAUUAGAUACCCUAGUAGUCC